AUUGAACGCUGGCGGCAGGCCUAACACAUGCAAGUCGAGCGGUAGCACAGAGAGCUUGCUCUCGGGUGACGAGCGGCGGACGGGUGAGUAAUGUCUGGGAAACUGCCUGAUGGAGGGGGAUAACUACUGGAAACGGUAGCUAAUACCGCAUAACGUCGCAAGACCAAAGUGGGGGACCUUCGGGCCUCAUGCCAUCAGAUGUGCCCAGAUGGGAUUAGCUAGUAGGUGGGGUAAUGGCUCACCUAGGCGACGAUCCCUAGCUGGUCUGAGAGGAUGACCAGCCACACUGGAACUGAGACACGGUCCAGACUCCUACGGGAGGCAGCAGUGGGGAAUAUUGCACAAUGGGCGCAAGCCUGAUGCAGCCAUGCCGCGUGUGUGAAGAAGGCCUUCGGGUUGUAAAGCACUUUCAGCGGGGAGGAAGGCGGUGAGGUUAAUAACCUCAUCGAUUGACGUUACCCGCAAAAAAAGCACCGGCUAACUCCCGUGCCAGCAGCCGCGGUAAUACGGAGGGUGCAAGCGUUAAUCGGAAUUACUGGGCGUAAGCGCACGCAGGCGGUCUGUCAGUCGGAUGUGAAAUCCCCGGGCUCAACCUGGGAACUGCAUUCGAAACUGGCAGGCUAGAGUCUUGUAGAGGGGGGUAGAAUUCCAGGUGUAGCGGUGAAAUGCGUAGAGAUCUGGAGGAAUACCGGUGGCGAAGGCGGCCCCCUGGACAAAGACUGACGCUCAGGUGCGAAAGCGUGGGGAGCAAACAGGAUUAGAUACCCUGGUAGUCCACGCCGUAAACGAUGUCGAUUUGGAGGUUGUGCCCUUGAGGCGUGGCUUCCGGAGCUAACGCGUUAAAUCGACCGCCUGGGGAGUACGGCCGCAAGGUUAAAACUCAAAUGAAUUGACGGGGGCCCGCACAAGCGGUGGAGCAUGUGGUUUAAUUCGAUGCAACGCGAAGAACCUUACCUGGUCUUGACAUCCACAGAACUUUCCAGAGAUGGAUUGGUGCCUUCGGGAACUGUGAGACAGGUGCUGCAUGGCUGUCGUCAGCUCGUGUUGUGAAAUGUUGGGUUAAGUCCCGCAACGAGCGCAACCCUUAUCCUUUGUUGCCAGCGGUCCGGCCGGGAACUCAAAGGAGACUGCCAGUGAUAAACUGGAGGAAGGUGGGGAUGACGUCAAGUCAUCAUGGCCCUUACGACCAGGGCUACACACGUGCUACAAUGGCAUAUACAAAGAGAAGCGACCUCGCGAGAGCAAGCGGACCUCAUAAAGUAUGUCGUAGUCCGGAUUGGAGUCUGCAACUCGACUCCAUGAAGUCGGAAUCGCUAGUAAUCGUAGAUCAGAAUGCUACGGUGAAUACGUUCCCGGGCCU
rnacentral:rRNA from 1 species